UGAGAGAGCUGAGGCCCAGGGAAGGAAAGGGGUGUGUCUGAGGUGACAGGGUGAACCCAGUGUUUUUUUUUUCUGUAGCUCACUGCCCUGCCAGGAGAGGAGAAGACCUACAGACCUUGGCUUUGACCUUGAGGAAAUGGAAAACCUUGGACCUUAAAGACAGAUUUCCAUGGCUAAGACAUGGGCAGGCUGUGUGACCUUGGGCACAUUACCUAACCUCUCUGAACCUCACGUGCUAGCGAGGAUUCAGUGAGCUGACAACUGUACAGGGCCUAAAAGGCCUCCUGGCAUGGACUAAGCUCUCAGUAAACCGGUGCUUUCUUGUGAUUCAGGAGCAGAAGCUGUGACCUCAGGAGAGGGACUUGCUGACUCUGGACCUCAACUUGCUCAUCUUCAAAAUGGGGACAAUGGCGCCUCCCUCCUAGGACUGCUGUGGGGCUCAGUGAGGUUACCUGUCCCCAGACGCAGGCACGAUGGAUGGACAGUCGUCCCUGGCACACUAGGUGGAGCAAGGACAUGGCCCCUGGAACCAGCCACACCAGCUUUGAAUCUGGAUUUGCCGCAUGUAGCUGUGUGAUCCUGGGCGAGUGGCUUCAGGUCUCUUUGGCCACCUGUUAUCUGAAGACUGGGGGCAAAACUGUUUAUCCAAAAGGUCGUAACACGGAAAAAGCAGGGGAACCAUCUAAAGCACUGGUGUCCGGCUUGCAAUUUUUCAUUAGUAAAAGUCAUAUUCUCCCCUUUUCUGCCCCAACCCGUCCUCCUGUCCUUCAAAGCAUAGUCAUCCCAGAAGGCUUUGCCCCCUUUCCAGGGAAGAGUCCCUAGUUACAGGGUCCCCAGAGCACUUUCUGUCUGU